rnacentral:tRNA from 1 species
GCAAAUAUGGGAGAAUGGUAAAAUUUCUCUUUGCCAAGGAGAAGAUGGGCGUUCGAUUCCCAUUAUCCGCCC